AAAAAAAAACAACAGGCUCUAUACCACUGAAAAGCAAUAUUUACUACUUCACUUUCAGAUUUGUACCAAGUUAAUGCCUGUGUUGAUCUGUAACCUCGUCCAGCUGGAAACAAUGGGGAAAAAAAAAUCAGCAACAAAUACAAGAUCUGAAAGAAAAAAAAAGGCAAGAUUUGAAAGAGAGCCUACAUUUAUAAUAGUCAAGGCAGCUUUGAUAGAUGAAGGAAGAGUACUGCCCAGUACUGGAAGGAGAGAAAAAAAAAAAAGACUAACGCGCUAUGGAUUACUGAGAUACUCUACAGUAAAAUAAAAUUAAAACGUACAAUGAAGUUAGUUAUAAAGAGAAAAUUUUAGAAGAUGUUCAUUUUCAUAUUUAGAGAAUGAGAUACAGAAAACAGAAAAAAAAAUCAACUUUUCAUGAAGAGUUGAAAGAAAGAAAAAAGAAGAAAGUGCAUGUCCUUCAAAAAGGAAAUCCUCCAGCAAAUCUGCUAAUGAAGUCCCUGCUCAUUUUGCAUUCUGGAUUUGUCCAAAGAGGUGCUAAAUAUCAGCAGGUAAUGGAGGACGGGAACAAUACUGUUGAGCAACGACAAGCAAGUGAGAUUAAAGCUGAAAAUACUGAUUCUACAAGAACUGCUUGUUCAUGGGAAUGCUGCUGCUACAUGCCAGAAAAUCUGUGAGUAAAAGCAAGCCUGCACUCGGUGUCUUAUUUGAAGUCAACAUCUGGUUAUCUUAUUUUAAACUAUCGGCUUACACACUUAUCAAUCUAAGUGUCAGAAGGCAUUAUGAGACCCUCAGAAAUAUGUGUUUUUUAAAUUUCCCGGAGGUCUCAGAUACUUCCACUGAAACAGCAAUUUAAUAGUGAAAUCAUGAAUUCUUUAAGGCCAGUUAUAUAAGGUUGCAUGAUAAAUUCUCCUUCAUUCUGCCCGUUUCUAUAAACUUUAGUGAGUAAUAUAAUAUAUCCUAAUACCAGAUUUACAAGCAAAACAGAUGUCAAGUGCACUAUUACAGCUAAAAGACGUCAGAGUUCAUCUCAACUCUGUGCUCUGUGACUGUCUGCAAUAACAUUACUGCUUCGAAGCUGCUAUUUAUUCUUAAACAUCGCCUGUUUUGGCAUUUUAGGACUGUUCAAAAUUGCUAAGAAACUAUUAGUUUAAAACUUUUUUAUUUAUAUAUUUUCUACUGGCAAGGUAAGUGGAAAAUAUGUGCUUGAUUUAUUUUUAUAUAUUUUUUUAAAUUGAGUAUUUUUUCCCCCUUUUUCUUAUUAUGUUUAAUAACAGGAUUUCUAAUAGCAUAACUUGCAAUAUGAAGGUUUUUCAUACUGGCAUGAUACAUUUCAACCCUCAAAAUUCUAGUCGGUCUAUUUUAGGAUGUCAGAUUUUAAUGAUAUGAAGAUGAGUUGCUUUAUUGGAAAAUAAAAGAGUUGAGAUCUCCGUUGCGCCAUUCCAUAGGCAGCAUAAUUGGAAUUAUUCUGAUUAAAGAGCAGCUCUGUCAGAAAGAGGGAUUUUGUUGAUGCUUAGAAAAAUAAAUAAAUAAAAUGUGGGACAUCUGAUAUAGCUCUGUUGAAAAUAAUUAUACAGGUGAUUUCACUACUUUUCAUUGGCUCAGGUAGACAAUAAUGAAUUAUAUCUUAUUUUCAUUUCAUACAGAAAGAAGAAAAAUAAUGAAAAGGUGAAGUAAUUUCUUUGAAUUCACAGUAAAUCAGCAGACUCAUGGAUCGAAGUCAGACUAAUAGACCAAGGACAAACACAACUGCGGGGAUUGGCCUCUUCUCCCAGGUAAUUAGAGACAGAACAAGAAGUACUGGCUUUAAGCUGAGUCAGGGGAGGUUCAGGUUGGAUACUGGGAAACAUUUCUUCUCAGAAAUGAUAGUGAAGCAUUGGAUCAGGCUGCCCAGGAAGGUGAUGGAGUCACCAUCCCUGCAGGUGUUCAAGAAAAGCUUAAUGUUGCUCUGAGAGACACGAUUUAGUGGUGUGGUGGAGCCUAAAGAACCCAUAAGUUAUCAUUCUGUGUCAUUGCUAUCAAUACUGCUCUCUCUCUGUGCCCUAAAUGCUUCUCACAAGUAAUGACAGAGCAGCAAAAGAAUAAUUUAGUCGAAGAACCUUCUCCAUUAUCUCCAGAAAAUAUGGCACUUUUGGCACAUUUUGGAUCCACGUUCUUGCAACUGGAGCUUUGAAAUCAAUACUUAUUACCAAGGUAGGACUUUUCUAAGAGUGCACUUGUAAGAAGAUUAAGAAAUCAAAGAGUUUGCCCAUUGCGAGGUAUUUACAGUAAUAAUUUUUAAUAGAAAAAUAUUUAAUGGUUCAAUUUGAAUUUGUCAUGAAACCCUUCCAUACUGGAUUAGUUGCUACUCUAAUGCAUAGUAUAUCAUGCAGAGCAAAUCUUUAAAGCAAGACAUUUUGGAAUGAUUUCCAGAGAUGUGAAAAUCUCAUAAGCUCUUCCCUUCCUUCCACCUGCUCACUUCUGUGUGUUUAUUUUUGGCUGGGUUACAUUCAUUAUGUGUAUUCUUGGUAUUUGUAUUAUUGAAUUGUUUGGAGGCCUUAGGCAUGGCCAGGACCAGGGGCUGCAUGGUACCGUACAGAGCAGAUUAAAAAGUUGCAGUGCAAAAAAGGCAAAAGCUGUACUAUUGGUCAGCCUUCCCAGCUAAAGGCUUCUUCUCUGGCUUCUCAGCGUAGGAGAGUUUCAAAGAGGAACCUGACAGAUAUUUGCUCCUGCUGGGCUGAGCUGUGAUGCUGGAGAUUUCAAGAAGAUACUCCACAGCAGUUGAGUGACUUUCUCAUUGCAAGGCAACGCUGGGAAAAGCAUCCUCUCCAGGUAGGAAGAAAGUGUAAAAAGAAGUCCGGAAAUGAGGCUUAUAUCUGAUGGAUAUUGGGUGCUGGCAGGGUCAUACCUGGAAAGAGGUGGUGCACCAAAACUGACAAGGUAGGGAAAUCUUCCAUCCAGGUUUACAGAGAAUAGCAGAGGGUUCACUCUCAUUUUGAUCUGAUAUAAUGCUUUGAAUCUGGGAAAAUAUAUGGUAUAACUUUUCAUUAAAAAAUAUUUAUUUUUUAACAUGUGAGACUAGAUGCAUUUCACAGUUUUAUUUUGCUGUUUCCUGUCUGUCUUUCUUCAACUCUCGUGCCUGUUAAAUGUCAAAAAAAAAAAAAAAAAAAAAAAACGUAUGCAAAGAGGCCAUGAGGGUGCAGGUCUGCUAAAGAGUCUGAGGGUAAUCAAUAAUGUGGAUUUGAUUUUCAGCCAUGCCAAAUAGCUCUGGUUCCACAUGGCAUUAUCAGCACCAGUAAGCAAUCAGUGUUAUACAUGGAGCUCUUUAAGUGCUCUUGGAUUGUUUCUUGAUCGGUAUCUGUGGGGAAAAAGAAGGUAACUUGACUUGUAAAGUUUCAAGAUUCAACCCACAUUUAUUUAUUGUUUCACAAUUUCCAGACUCCUCAUGGGAGUUACAAACAUAAGCCUCCAUCCUUGGGAGCACCAUGUGCUCCUGCACAUCAGUCUUGGGCUGCUGGAGCUUUAUUGCUGCUUUCACAGCUGUUGUGUUCCCAUACAUAAUUAAUAAGCAAACACUUCAUAUGGUAUUGUGAAUGGAUAAUGUUAUUAUAUUGUCCAUCGCACAUUGAAAUCAAAAUGGACCAAGACAAAUUUUUACUAAUAUCUGAACAUUAUUUCUAAGGAGGAGAUGAAAGUGUUUCACAACAUAUUGAUCUGUACCUGAGCGUAAAUGAUUAAUGUACUGUGGUCCAACUGCAGCUGGAUUUCUUUUGACAACAGCCAUGAAACAAGCUAUGAUCUCAUAUCCAUUGAUAGAUCGAUAUAUAUAGGUAUGUAUUUUUAUAUAUAGAUGCAUUUACCUUUAUCAUGUGAUUGAGUGGCAGACCUUGCAUUAUAAAUCAAG
ensembl:lncRNA